GCCUUAGGCAUUAACAGUUUUCCUGCUCAAGAAAUUCCACUACUGAUCUUGGAAGCUAAGCAGGGUCAUGCCUGGUAAGUACUUGGAUGGGAGACCACCUAGGAAGACCAGGUGCUGUAGGCA
ensembl:rRNA 5S_rRNA 5S ribosomal RNA